rnacentral:rRNA from 1 species
AGUGGCGGACGGGUGAGUAACGCGUAAGAAUCUAACUUCAGGACGGGGACAACAGUUGGAAACGACUGCUAAUACCCGAUGUGCCGCAAGGCGAAAACUAAUUGGCCUGAAGAAGAGCUUGCGUCUGAUUAGCUAGUUGGUGGGGUAAAGGCCUACCAAGGCGACGAUCAGUAGCUGGUCUGAGAGGAUGAGCAGCCACACUGGGACUGAGACACGGCCCAGACUCCUACGGGAGGCAGCAGUGGGGAAUUUUCCGCAAUGGGCGAAAGCCUGACGGAGCGACGCCGCGUGAGGGAGGAAGGUCUUUGGAUUGUAAACCUCUUUUCUCAAGGAAGAAGUUCUGACGGUACUUGAGGAAUCAGCCUCGGCUAACUCCGUGCCAGCAGCCGCGGUAAUACGGGGGAGGCAAGCGUUAUCCGGAAUUAUUGGGCGUAAAGCGUCCGCAGGUGGUCAGCCAAGUCUGCUGUCAAAUCAGGUUGCUUAACGACCUAAAGGCGGUGGAAACUGGCAGACUAGAGAGCAGUAGGGGUAGCAGGAAUUCCCAGUGUAGCGGUGAAAUGCGUAGAGAUUGGGAAGAACAUCGGUGGGGAAAGCGUGCUACUGGGCUGUAUCUGACACUCAGGGACGAAAGCUAGGGGAGCGAAAGGGAUUAGAUACCCCUGUAGUCCUAGCCGUAAACGAUGGAUACUAGGCGUGGCUU